rnacentral:lncRNA from 1 species
AAGGACAGGAAGAGAAAGACAAAGGGUUUUUGGUUUUUGUUUUGGAGGAAGUGGAGAAUAAUGAAGAAAUUGCAUGAUUUAACUUUUGUUUUUGCAGUACUUGAUAAUAGAACCAAAAAGUCUUUGAAGUGUGUGGAGAGAGAUAGAGAGAGAAAGGGUUUCCCGUGAGAAAAGCUUGGAGGCAUCCAAAGAAGACACCUAACGCUAUAACAUGGUUUUUGACACUUGUUAGUAGAUGCUAAGCUACUUCCUACUGCCAUGCAUGACCCAUCAUCAGAUUCCUUUUUCCUUUGCUGCCACUGCACCACCACCACCACCACCACCGUCACCACCUCUUACCAGUUUUACACGUUCCCAUGCAGAAGAAUGUUUCGUUUCACUGUUUUCCCUUGCCCUAUCUAUGACCCCACAUGCUUCUUCUUUCGUCAAUAAUCGGUGCCUCAUUUUGCACACG